UUAUAUAUAUGUCCAUGCUCAGACCGAACUUCCCGACCUCCAAUAUUGUGGGCGGGGCUAAGUUUGACUGGCAUCCAGCCU